CAGCAGCCGCCGCGGGAAUACGGAGGGGGCUAGCGUUGUUCGGAAUUACUGGGCGUAAAGCGUACGUAGGCGGCUUUGUAAGUUAGAGGUGAAAGCCCGGGGCUCAACCCCGGAAUUGCCUUUAAGACUGCAUCGCUUGAAUCGCGGAGAGGUGAGUGGAAUUCCGAGUGUAGAGGUGAAAUUCGUAGAUAUUCGGAAGAACACCAGUGGCGAAGGCGGCUCACUGGACGCGUAUUGACGCUGAGGUACGAAAGCGUGGGGAGCAAACAGGAUUAGAUACCCGUGUAGUCCCUGUCUCUUAUAC
rnacentral:rRNA from 1 species